AUAAUUAAUCAUAGAUCCUAUAUCUAACUUGUUUAUUAAAUAGAUUAUACAUUUCAGUUUGUGUUAUAUGUUUGAUAAAUAGAUUUCAACUUAUCCAAUAAAUUAAGUCAGGCUCCAAUUGAUGCUUUUUCUAGGUACCCUGAUCCAAUCCCAACUUGAUCUAAUCUGAUUCAUUGGAACCCUCCAAUCAAGAGUGCAGCUAGGCUGGAUAAUUCUAAUGCUAGAAACAUCACAAACAACCCUUCCACCAC
rnacentral:lncRNA from 1 species